AAGUCGUAACAAGGUUUCCGUAGGUGAACCUGCGGAAGGAUCAUUAACACGUAUCCAACGUUAAACCCCCUGUGAACCUUCAUUGUAUGAGUUACAUCCACGUCAUAAACCGGCAAUCUCUGGUAAAUCAUCGCCGAACAGUUUUGAUUCAGAGACCUCUGGGAAGGGUGUACGGUAGUGCGAGGCAAUGUCACUAGCUAUGUACGGAUGGCGCAGUAACGAUCGCUGGAGGCCGACACGGCCGGCGACCAGGUCACUGGGCUACGGCCCCCCUGAUCACAACCUUUGCAUGAAAACGGGCCUGCGCUGAGGUGCGGCCACCCCUAAUGCUUGAACAACUGUUAACAAUGGAUAUCUUGGUUCUC
rnacentral:misc_RNA from 1 species